AGAUUGUGGUGUGACGAGGCUCUGACUCCGUAGUAAGUAAGGACGCUACUGGAGUUGAUGUUCGGUGAUUUUGGGCGCGAGCCGUCGACCGCUGUUCGCCAUUGCAGGCAUGACAAGAUGCUGGGGGAGAGUUUGCAGCCAAAGCCAAAC